UGGGCAGGGCAGCAGAGCAGGAAGGUUCGAGGUCACUAUCUGAUAGCACAGAAUUUCUCUGUGACCACACAAAAGAUGUUAAGGCAAUGCAUGGUGAUAAUGCCUGCAAAGCAUUAUUGUACUUUACAGUACUGAACUAGACACUUAAACUUUCUCUAACAAUUACAUGUUAUAUAAAUUUGCCAUUGCAAAAUAAUGUGGGAAAUGGAGGUCAUAAUAAGACCUAUUAAAACAACUGUGAGAAAGGAAUGAGGUCAUAUGUGUGAAGCACUUAGCGCAAAGUCUGAGCGUACACUCUGUGCACAGAAUACCUGCCAUCUUUAUCCACUGACAAGAAGUCAGAAUCCUACGCUAUUGGAUGAAGAAUGAUUUUCUUCUAAUCAAGAACAAGUACCUUUUCACAAAUUCAACUAAGAUUGCAGGAUGCAGAGAUGCAGACAACGCAGACAACUGUGGCCAUUCCUUCAAGGACUUCAGCACACAGCCCAUGCUUGCCACACAACUGAUGAUCCUGCUUUUUGUACAGACAAGGAAAAUAAAUGAAGAUGCGAAACCCCACUAA
rnacentral:lncRNA from 1 species